rnacentral:tRNA from 1 species
AUUUAAGUAGUUUAAGUAAAAAUAUUAAUUUGUGGAAUUAAUGAUAUAUAAUAAAUAUUAUCUUAGAUA